UCCACAGAGAAUUACCGAUAUUUCCUCCGACGCCGUGUCUAUUCCCAGCUCCGCAACCCCAGCUCCCACCGACGCGCCUCGGUAGUCCGCCGUCAUCCACAACCUUGAUUCGCGACACAUCCGCUCCAAAAUCUUGAACAAGUGUGGUGAAUUUCAAUUAAAUUAACGGAAGGGAGGGAUCGUGCCGCAAUUGCUGAUUCAUCUUCCUACUCGCCGUCUGCAAUGGUUCUAAAAUUCUAAACCUUGCGAUCAAUUGCUACCUUGUCACCUCUUCCAUCAACCAUGUCGCAAGCCCCAACACCUGUGAACCCUAGAAGAAACCCGGAUCCAUCUCCAACCACCAAUACCCGGUUGGAAUCUGAUGCUCAUGUUAACCAUGUUACGGCUUCAGUGCUUGCCAAGCCUACUGUUCUGUCUGAUAACUCAGAUCUUGCCAAUACUGCUGUUGUGUCAAUCACAGAGUCUACUGCUGGAACUCUCAAGAGGCCCCGUGAGGAGGACUCUGUGGAGGAUGGGGCCUUGGUUGAUUUGCCAGAAGCAAAGCGGCGUGUAAAGGCCGCUCAUGAUAUCAUAUACCGAAUUGUUGUACCCUCUCGGCAGAUUGGGAAAGUCAUUGGAAGAGCAGGGCACCGUAUUCAGAAGAUUAGAGAGGAUACUCAGGCUACGAUUAAGAUUGCUGAUGCUAUUUCGAAACAUGAAGAGAGGGUGAUUAUUAUCAGUUCGAAGGACAGCGACAAUGUAUUUUCUGAUGCAGAAAAUGCUCUUCAUCAGAUUGUUACUCUGAUCCUCAAGGACGAUGAUGGGAAUGCAGAGGCAGCGAUAAUUGGCCCAGGACAUGUCCCAGCUAAUGCAGUAAGGCUUUUGAUUGCUGGUUCUCAAGCAGGUGGUUUGAUUGGAGUUUCGGGCCAAAAUAUUGUGAACUUGAGGAAUGCCUCAGGAGCAAGUAUUACUGUUCUUUCUCCUAAUCAGUUACCUCCAUGCGCUUCUGCUCAUGAAUCUGACCGAGUUGUACAGAUAUCCGGAGAUAUUCCUGCUGUUUUGAGAGCUGUAGUGGAAAUUGGCUGCCAACUCAGGGAUAACCCACCUAAACAAGUAAUAUCUAUCAGCCCAACAAAUAAUGUUGGCGUUCAUCGGCAACCUCAACCAUAUGUGGAUCCUACAUCAGGUGAUUAUGUUACGUUGGAGCUUUUGGUUCCUGAAAAUCUGGUGGGUGGGUUGAUUGGAAGGUUCGGAGCCAAUAUUUCAAGGAUUAGAAACGAGUCCGGAGCAAAUAUUAAGGUUUAUGGUGGGAGAGGUGAACAAACACAAAGACAGAUUCAUCUAGGUGGUGGCGCUCAACAGGUUGCCCUUGCGAAGCAGCGGGUUGAUGAAUAUGUCUAUGCUGAGUUGAUGCGACAAGCAGGGGGUCAAAUGCAGCUCACUGCCGCUGGUCAAUUGCAACAAUAUCCUACUCAACAGCCAAUGCCUGACAUGUCCAAUCCUCUCUACCAUGGUUAUAGUCAUGCCCCUGGCCUAUACACGACCAGUAAUCAUGACGUUGGAAUGAUGUCAGCGCUCCCACCGAUGUAUGCAUCAAGCGCAACAACUCAAGCUCCUCAGUACUAUGCUAAUCAGUCCUAUCCUGCUCCGCCAUUAUAGGAGCGAAUAGAAGCAACGGUUCUAUCCUGCUCCACCAUCAUUGUUGGCAUCAAGUGCAAAGGUCUUAUCAUGCUCCAACAUUGUUGGAAUCAAGCACAAUGACUCAGAACUCCUCGUUUUUUGUAGUAAGAAUCUGACUUCCAGAUUGACGACACAGUACCACGACACAGUACCAGUGACUAAGCGUGCUUGGCAUGGAGUAAUUCUAAGAUGGGUUAUCCCUUGGAAAGUUUCUCAGAGAGCGUAUGAGUGACUCUAAAACACGCCAGUACAAUAGUAGAGCGAUGGCUAGUGCAAAUUAAAUGCUAGUACAAGGAAUGACUCUUACUUCUAAAGUAGAGUGAACCAUGAAUGUGUCAAAGCACAUAAGUGAUAUGCAGUUAUGAGACUGUAUAUCGCUUAUUGCCAAUUUUUCUACUUAAGAUAGAAAUAUCCCAUAUUUUAACUA